rnacentral:rRNA from 1 species
GCCAUAGGUCGCAAACGUUAUCCGGAAUUAUUGGGCGUAAAGGAUGCGUAGAUGGUUCAGUAAGUUACUGGUGGGAAAUCGAGGCCCAACCUCGUGGAAGUUAGUAAUACUGUUGAACUUGAGUGCAGGAGAGGUUAACGGAACUUCAUGUGGAGCGGUAAAAUGCGUAGAUAUAUGAAAGAACAUCAAUAUGGCGAAGGCAGUUAACUAUUCUGCUACUGACAGUGAGGCAUGAAAGCGUGGGGAGCAAAACGG